GAGAGAGGGGAGGUGACUGCCGUGGCACCCGCCUCUUUCUUUACCGGUGCAGCCUUCCUGCUUUCUCCCUUGCCGUUUCGCGUCGGAUCAGGGCAGCGACACUUCUCUUGUGGUCUAAUCUGCAUUUCUCUGCUUGGUGCUCUGUUGUGUUCCGCGCCUCUUCCUCAGUUCUUACAGGCAUCACGGAGAGUUCGCGGUUGCGCGUGCACGUCGCACGGUGCUCUUUUCUUUAGCGCCGUUGAACACAGGCUGCCGGCUCACCUUUUGCUCGGCGCGGGCAUCCGCCGACGUGAUACCAGUGCUUCCUUUGUUUCCUUUGGUGUUUGCUGCCCGUUUUCUUUUUUUUGCUGCUCUAGAUUCACCGGCAAUGGCGCAGCCGUGCAAUAGCCUGUCCGAGUUCCCCUACGCGGAGGCGGCCAAAUCGCUAGCGAAGCGCGCCUCACUCACUAGCCAAGGUGUGCCUCCGCCGUGGACUAAGUCAAUAACGGAUUCGACAACAGUCUGCACAGAGGACAAAGUGUUUGUCAUCGGCGGGAUCGAUACACGCACGCAGCGCAUCGUGCCGUACGCACGCGUAUGGGAUGCCGUGGCGCACGUCUGGGCGCGAUUGCCCGACGCCCCGGUCAGGGUUGCCCAUGCAAGCGCCGCUGCGGUGCCUGCCGAGGGGUCCAUCAUCUUGUUUGGCGGGUGGGACGGCACGAAGUGCAACGCAGAGCUGUGGCAUCUCCACCCUCGGCGCCACGACGGCGCCACUACAGGUGCGGAUAGGGUGUCCCCGCCAAGCCUCGGAGUGAGCGGAGGAGGAUAUCCCUCCCCCACUCCUACAACUGCACGGGGACGGGCGUCAAAAAGCGAUGAUGAGGCUGCGCUUCAUUGGGAUCGACUGGAGACCGACACGCGUGUCUCUGCGCGACCGGUGGGGCGAUACGGACACGCGCUUGCUUUUGGAGUUUCCGCUCCUGCGGAACGGUCGCAGACUAACUCACCAUCAUCGCCGGCUGCGGAGUCGCUUCAGCCAUCUAAUAAGGCGAUGGGGCCUGCCGCUGCGGCGACCAUGUUUUCUGGUGCGCCAACGCCGACAACUCUGGAGCCGGUUUUGUAUCUCUUUGGUGGCAAUAACACCACUUCGCGGCUGAAUGACGUGUGGCGGCUCUGGCUCACGCCGUCCAUCCAGCAACGCGUCGCGCACUGGGAGCGGCUGAAGGUGACCCCUGGCGUCUGCCCGUGUCCGCGUGAAGAUGCCGUCCUAGCAUUCGACAUGACUCGGCAGUGCCUUUGGCUGUAUGGCGGCAGCAGCGCUACUGGCGUCCUCGACGAUUUGUGGUGCCUUUCCUUGGUCGGCGACUCAUCAGUAAGCGGGUUGACAUGGACGCCUGUCUAUCCACUGGGCGGACACCGACUCGCACCAGCCCAGUGGAACCUUUCUAAAAAGUGUAUGCCGGCCGCCGCGGUGGUGGAGGGCGGAAGUCUCUACGUGCUAUUUAACGAGGCACCAAAGUCGUCGAAGUGCCUCCACGCAAACGGCCGAGAGCCGCUCUACCGCUUCUGUUUGACAACGCAUCACUGGCUCUCUUGCUCCCUGUCCGAGGAGGAAGUGGCCUCGAGUCGGCCCUCCUCCUCCCUCCGAACAUCGCUUCCUGUUGCGCAACAGGCAAGCUCAUUCCGCGCUGUCGCAUCGUGCGCGUGCAAUCGCUUUCUCUUCUGGCUGAUGGACUCCACGGGUGACGAACCCUCCGACACGCAGAGCAAGCCGGUAGUGGUCCAGGUUGAGCUCAACCUCCUCGACACAAAGCCCACGAAGCGGCGUGCGGAGCGCAGUCGAUAGUUGCGCAGGGGAGAGCUGCUGCCGACACAGGUGUUGGCAGGUCUCUCACCUACCCAUGUCGUCGUUCGUUUGUUUUUGCUUUGGGUGCGCGGUUUCGUUACGGCCACUACUCCUUGCUACUCCAUAUCGUUCAGUACGCGUUUGGUUGGUUGGCGUAUCCCUGCCUCCCAUCCUCCCCCCCGAAACAGCAUCUUUUGGCACGAGCUCACCCCUUCGUUUUUUUUUUUUUCACUCCUUGUCCUCGCGUAGCGGUCCGCCGCCUUCUCCCCUUUUUUUGUUCGCUGUAGUCCACAUGCUUCUGCUUUCUUUUUCUCUGUUGCUGCUGAAUGGAACACACAUACUGACCGUCGAUGUAAGGUGACGCUAUCGCACGUUCUCCCCCCUUCCCUUACCCCUCACCCCCCCCCCCCGAGUCUCUCUGUCUCUCGUGUUUUUUUUGUUUUGCAUUUUCCUUUCCUUUCGUCCCGAGUUUGAUGUUUUCUCUUCGCUCCCUCCCCUUUCCGCUUGUCUCUACUGCCUCUCCUCCGUGUCUCUGGACCUCUCAAGGACGUGCCCCACCCCUACCCCUUUCGCUGCACGCACCGUGUUGUGUCUCUCUCUUUCGUGUCGGGAAGAUCCGCCACAUCACACACACACACGCAGAAAAAAAAUAUCGCCCAACUGUGGAAGGAGGGGGGGGGAGCGCACGCUUACUUCUCGUUGCCCGCUUCCUCCCUCGCAAAGAGUGCACGAAACGGACAAGGUCGGAGACACCAUGGAACCUGAGCCUCUUAAAAGGGGAGAGCAGAAACAAUGGCGACGUGAGGACUCGAUUUUGAGCUCAGUGCUUUUCUUCUUUCGGUGUAGGGGGAGGGAGGUCUCCGCUAUCUCUCUCUGUCGAUGUUGCUGCUGUCGUGCCGUAUCCUUUGUUUGGUUAUACUGAUUACCCCAUCUUCGUUUUGCCUCUCCUUCUUCGUCGCUUCUACUAGUAUUGCUUUACUUUCUACACCCUUUAUUUCUGCCCUCCUUCUCUCUCCCUACCACCUCUCACUCCGUUUGCCCACUCGCCCGUCACGGCGUUUCGAUCGGGCUUCCUCACCCGGUCUGUUUUUUUUUUCUUGUGGUGGUGUUUGUGUGGCGCAGGCUGCCUGCGUGCUGACGUGCAGCUUCGGCCCCACCCCUUCUUCCUCCUUUUACUACCUUUUUUCUCAUGCAGCAUGCUGAAGUACUCCUUCUUCCUACGGUAUCUCAACUUGUAUUUUGUGCGCCUUCGACGCGCCCCUUCCCCGCUCCCCUAAAAAAAAGGAAAAGGGCACUGCCAGAGGAUGCAAC
rnacentral:misc_RNA from 1 species